AAGAGAAAAGAAAAGAAAAUAAUGGCAAAGAAUUGUGGCUUGGGCAAUCCGCCCAUGUGUGGGCAAAAAUGAAAAAGUGAAGCCAUUUUCAAGGCUUUGGCCUUGAGAGGUCCGCCCACAACCAAGAAGAAAAGAGAAAGGAAAGGAAAGAAGGAAAGAAAAGAGAGAAAGGAAGGAAGGUUCGGCUUGGAGAAACUAGAGAAAAACUAAAAGGUAUUUCCUCCCACCCACACGCCAUUGUUGAAGUUUAAGGAGAGUUUGGUGGUUUGGCUUAAAUAUUUCAAGCAAAAGAAUACCAUAUGGGAGCCAAGAAAAACCAUGCAUGUUGGUGAAUCACAAGGAAUGUUUUACAUAUAUGGCACAAACCUCCCUUUCUGAAUAAGUAAUCGGUACAAGUACAUCACUCAGCACCUCAAGACUAGCUGCAACGUAGGUAAUGGCAUCUCUUAGACUUCCACUCUGAGUUACUCCGCUACCUAAAGGUCGUGUUGUGUCAAGUACUCAGACUUAUGAUGAUAAAUAGUUUGUGGAAAUGCAUUUGCUAAAACUCGAGGAUGUGUAAUGAUUACCACUUAUUAUGUUAAAUAUGUUGUGGAGUUAUUAAACCUAGU